GACGUAGGGCGCAAGCGUUGUCCGGAAUUAUUGGGCGUAAAGAGCUCGUAGGCGGCUUGUUGCGUCGACUGUGAAAACCCGUGGCUCAACCAUGUGGUCUGCAGUCGAUACGGGCAGGCUAGAAUUCGGUAGGGGAGACUGGAAUUCCUGGUGUAGCGGUGAAAUGCGCAGAUAUCAGGAGGAACACCGGUGGCGAAGGCGGGGUCUCUGGGCCGAUAUUGACGCUGAGGAGCGAAAGCGUGGGGAGCGAACAGG
rnacentral:rRNA from 1 species